CCUACGGGAGGCAGCAGUGGGGAAUAUUGCGCAAUGGGCGAAAGCCUGACGCAGCGACGCCGCGUGAGGGAUGAAGGUCUUCGGAUCGUAAACCUCUGUCAGCAGGGAAGAACGGUCACUGUGCUAAUCAGCAGUGAAUUGACGGUACCUGCAAAGGAAGCACCGGCUAACUCCGUGCCAGCAGCCGCGGUAAUACGGAGGGUGCGAGCGUUAAUCGGAAUUACGGGGCGUAAAGCGGUCGUAGGCGGGAUGGCAAGUCAAGGGUGAAAUCCCCGCGCUCAACGUGGGAACUGCCUUUGAAACUGGCAAACUGGAGUGUGUGAGAGGAUAGUGGAAUUCCAGGGGUAGGAGUGAAAUCCGUAGAUAUCUGGAGGAACAUCAGUGGCGAAGGCGACUAUCUGGCACAUAACUGACGCUGAGGAGCGAAAGCGUGGGUAGCAAACAGGAGUAGAUACCCUAGUAGUC
rnacentral:rRNA from 1 species